ACUUGUUGAUGUGGACAUUUAUAGAGUAGGUCCCUAAAGCGCUCCCAAGUCUCGAAAAAGAGUUCCUCAUCCAUCUUUGAAAAACUCAGAAUGGCCCUCCAAAGCU